rnacentral:sRNA from 1 species
GUCAAAACGACUCUCGGCAACGGAUAUCUCGGCUCUCGCAUCGAUGAAGAACGUAGCGAAAUGCGAUACUUGGUGUGAAUUGCAGAAUCCCGUGAACCAUCGAGUCUUUGAACGCAAGUUGCGCCCAAAGCCUUUUGGCCAAGGGCACGUCUGCCUGGGCGUCACGCAUCGUGUUGCCCCCUCCUCUGUCCUUCCGGGGCAAUGUUUAGGUGGGGGCGGAUAAUGGCCUCCCGUGCGUCAUGACGUGCGGUUGGUCCAAAUGRGAUCCUACGGCGACGCACGUCGCGACUAGUGGUGGUUGAACUCUCAACUCUCGUGUUGUUGUGWCGUUUGGCGUUGUGCGGCGGGAUUAUUGCAUACCCAAUCGUGCGAUCUAUUUUGCGCUUUCGACCGCGACCCCA